UACAUUUUUCAGAGUAUUGUUGUAAGGAC
rnacentral:piRNA from 1 species